rnacentral:rRNA from 1 species
UGUGGUUGUCAUACCACCCUGAAUCUCAUUUGAUCUCAGAAGAUAAGCAAGGUAGGGCCUGGCUAAUACUUGAACAAGAGGAUAGUAUAUAGAGGAAGAAUAGAAUGUGGCCAUAG